GAUUGAACGCUGGCGGCAGGCUUAACACAUGCAAGUCGAACGGUAGCAGGAAGGAAGCUUGCUUUCUUUGCUGACGAGUGGCGGACGGGUGAGUAAUGCUUGGGAAUCUGGCUUAUGGAGGGGGAUAACUACGGGAAACUGUAGCUAAUACCGCRUAAUGUCUAAGGACUAAAGGGUGGGACUUUCGGGCCACCUGCCAUAAGAUGAGCCCAAGUGGGAUUAGGUAGUUGGUUAGGUAAAGGCUGACCAAGCCGACGAUCUCUAGCUGGUCUGAGAGGAUGACCAGCCACACUGGAACUGAGACACGGUCCAGACUCCUACGGGAGGCAGCAGUGGGGAAUAUUGCACAAUGGGGGGAACCCUGAUGCAGCCAUGCCGCGUGAAUGAAGAAGGCCUUCGGGUUGUAAAGUUCUUUCGGUAGCGAGGAAGGUGUUUGUUUUAAUAGAACAGGCAAUUGACGUUAACUACAGAAGAAGCACCGGCUAACUCCGU
rnacentral:rRNA from 1 species